GACGAACGCUGGCGGCGUGCUUAACACAUGCAAGUCGAACGGAAAGGCUCCAGCUUGCUGGAGUACUCGAGUGGCGAACGGGUGAGUAACACGUGGGUGAUCUGCCCUGCACUUCGGGAUAAGCCUGGGAAACUGGGUCUAAUACCGGAUAGGACCGCACUUUGGUGUGUGUGGUGGAAAGGUUUUUCUGGUGUGGGAUGAGCUCGCGGCCUAUCAGUUUGUUGGUGGGGUAAUGGCCUACCAAGACGGCGACGGGUAGCCGGCCUGAGAGGGUGGACGGGCACAUUGGGACUGAGAUAAGGCCCAGACUCCUACGGGAGGCAGCAGUGGGGAAUAUUGCACAAUGGGGGAAACCCUGAUGCAGCGACGCCGCGUGGGGGAUGAAGGCCUUCGGGUUGUAAACUCCUUUCGCUAGGGACGAAGCUUUUUGUGACGGUACCUGGAGAAGAAGCACCGGCUAACUACGUG
rnacentral:rRNA from 1 species